CCUCACCCUCGUAAGACUACCCGCUGAACUUAAGCAUAUCAAUAAGCGGAGGAAAAGAAACCAACAGGGAUUGCCUCAGUAACGGCGAGUGAAGCGGCAAAAGCUCAAAUUUGAAAUCCCCCGGGAAUUGUAAUUUGAAGAGAUUUGGGUCCGGCCGGCAGGGGUUAAGUCCACUGGAAAGUGGCGCCACAGAGGGUGACAGCCCCGUGAACCCCUUUAACGCCCUCAUCCCAGAUCUCCAAGAGUCGAGUUGUUUGGGAAUGCAGCUCUAAGUGGGUGGUAAAUUCCAUCUAAAGCUAAAUACCGGCGAGAGACCGAUAGCGAACAAGUACAGUGAUGGAAAGAUGAAAAGCACUUUGAAAAGAGAGUGAAAAAGUACGUGAAAUUGUUGAAAGGGAAGGGCUUGCAAGCAGACACUUAACUGGGCCAGCAUCGGGGCGGCGGGGAGCAAAACCACUGGGGAAUGUACCUUUCGAGGAUUAUAACCCCGGUCCUUACUCCCUCACCAUCCCGAGGCCUGCAAUCUAAGGAUGCUGGCGUAAU
rnacentral:rRNA from 1 species